ensembl:lncRNA
GGUCGUUUGAGUCAUUUACAAACGGUUCUUCAUUGAAGCGUGAGAAGGUCUGGGAGCAGAGAUGCACCUGGCGGUGCCCAAGGUUCCCUCUCCUGCUGCAGUCUCCAGUACCCGUCCCACAUGGGAGCCUUCCUUUGCUACAUCUGUUCCAGUUCAGGCAGAUUUACGCUUUCUAAGCUGAGCUCCGCUGAGGUGAUUCAGCACCUGUGUGAUCCCAGGUGCGCACCGAUACAAGGCCAUUUGUUUCAGAAAUCUAGGAGCGGUGGCUGCAGAAGGUUAAUGGAGGGGGACUUCAGUGCCGAGAGGUCUCAGUAUCAGGUCUUACAGUUUUAAACAGCUUCCCUGGGGAGAUCUGAAAUGCACGACAGCUCCGAUAGUUGCUUAAAGAGGAAUAUUAAUGACUUGGAGGCCAUUGGGGGACAGAGAGAAUUGAAGGCAUUUGUGGUAAUAGUGACGAAGAAUGAAUAGAAACAGCUGACCGCCGAGGUCCACAAACAAAACCACCAGGACUUCUCAAGCUUAAUGCAUUUCUUUUCUAAAAAUCUUUCCAGCUCUUGUUCCCGCUUCCUUGUCAAGCUGUAGGAUCACUUCGGUGAAAGGCUCUGUUAAGAACAUGUUGAAUCCUUUAUCUUUUCGUAUAGCAGCAGCACACAUCCACAGCCUGUGUAUUCGGCAGGCUUUAGGGAUUCAGGCAGCACAGGAGGAAAUCAGACACGGGGACUGCAGCUGUAAUUCUGAUGUCGUGCGUAAUGCUCUUUUAUAUGCUUCUGGGAUAUGCCAGGCUUCUGAAGUGUGUUUUUCUACUUGCUCUUGACAACUGUUGAGUAUGAUACAAUGGGGAAUUAAGAGUGGGCAUUUCCUCUGUACGAUCUGGUUCCUGAGCUGUUUUCCGUAGCGUAACGUCUACGUCAGUCUCAAGACUUACCUUGUGUGUCAACAUAAGAGGUACUGACACUGGGAGGCAUGGGCAUCUCGAGCCCUGUUACAAUGUCUAGUUCUGGGAGAUGUAACACAGAUAAGGGAUGCUCUAAAUGGUCCUUAUUACAACUUCCACUUCUUGCUGUUACCGACAGAUCUGCAUCACUACAUUUUAAAUGCUUUUUCUCACUCUGAGCACCACCAGAAUGCUUUAUUGUCUACCUGACAGGGGCAUGUCUCCCUGUUUGCUCAGCUUAGCCCUUCUGCCUCAGGGUUCUUGCACAGGUGUUUAGCCUGCACUUCCCUUGGUCCACUGGGAGCUUCUUUGAAUCUCUCCAUAAUAUAAAAGGAAGCCAUUGGUGUUCAGAUUUGGACCAAGAUUCACAGUCCGUUGCAAAUUAGGUGCCCUUAAAUCUUGCCUUUGCUCAAUACUCAAAACAAAUUUAUUAUUCACAAAAGACUUUCUUAUUUGGAUUUAUUUGGAAUGGAAUCUUUUUUCUAUAUUUCAAAUAUAAAGCAUUUCAUAGAUUUUUCUAGAAACCUCUUUCAUAGUUUCUGCCACGCUGCACUGCCUACUUUCAUAAAUCUUUAUGUUCUCAGUAGAAAAUCAAUGCCUACUUAUUAAUACAAUAUUGAUACGUGUUUCAUAAGUAAUAAAGGAUGCAUAUACAUAUACUCACAAAGCAGGGCUGCGUGGAGAAGUUUACAGUCAUUCUGUGCAGUGGGAUGCAUUGCAAUGACAAGUCUGCAGCCAAUUUCUGUCAAGUUCAUAAAUUCAAAUGCUGAAAUUUGACAGAAUCCCAUUUUCUGUUACUCAGACACAAUCAGCACUCUCCAAACUAAAGACGUCUGAGAAAUGAAACCAACAGUGAGUACCUGUGACUCCCAAAGCACCAAGCCUUACCAAUGCCAAUUUUUACACAGAACAAGAACGGAGCAGGAAAGUACUGGAGUAACAACAACCAGGGUCACAGUAUUAAAAGGAAAAAGAUGUGAGCCUUUUCUCAUCUGGGGACUCUUGUUGCCUCUGCAGGCACUCUGAAAAGCUAUCAGCUGCUUGCUGUGCUGGGCUUGGUGGAGUCACUUCCAAGAUAAUGCUGUAGCUGCAUCCUGCAUCUGUGGGCUGUGACCGAAAUGCCCAGUGAAGCUGCCUGCUGGCUGCCUCACCCGGAGGAGUCACGCAGAGGGGGUCCAUGGUAGCCUGAGCUGCUAGACUUGGCCCUAGCACAAUGCCAGCAGGGCUUUCUCAAAUGCCAAAGGCUGACUGGGGAUUUCAGGGGGUAAAGGAGUCCUUUCAAACAUUCUUCAAAGACUCUCAAGAGCCAAGGAAAAAAUGUGUCUUCCAAAAGAAUUGCACUCAGUGCUCUUCUUUGGAUAGAAGAGAAGGUGGCGUUCAUGGUAUUAACAAAUCAUGUUAUUACCAGGAGGAAUAUAUACCAGAAUGUGCCAAAGUUAAAAAAAAAAAAAACUGGCAAAGUAGUUGUUGGAGGGAAGCAAAUGCAAAGAUACUGCACGUGCUUCAUUCACCCCAGGAGCCAGGGACUCGGGCAAGUGGUGCAGACGGUGUGGAAGAGGGAUUCAUUCCUUUUACUGACAUUUCCGUGGCUACUCAUCUCUAAAAAGAUGCGACUUAAGGCCAGGAAGGCACUGUUUCUCUGCGUGCCUCAGACUUUGAAUGUAGGUGUUGGUUCUUCCCAUUUUGCACGGAUCUUAUUCUGCAAGUCCUUGCCACUUAAUUGGACUUUACUCCCCAUCUUGAUUUGUGUAUGAAGAAUUUGUUCUCUGAAUUUAAAUAUUUUUCCUGAGCUCAUCUCUUUGUAAAUUGCGAUUGAUAUCAGUUCUGCUGGGAGUGAACUCUGUAUGUAAAAAGAGUAAAGGUUCAACAUAUCCAUGGUAGAUCUUUUUCUAACUUCUACAUUUUUCUCAAAAUGCCCAGAGUUUAUCAUUCAUCAUUUCCAUGCUGUGACUUAAAGCCUUUGCUUCUUUAGUGAGAACAACUAGUAGACAUCCAGAAAUUGCAACUUUAUGAUACAAUACUUUGCCAGAAGGCAGCGUAUCCCUUCUUGUUUGAGAAGGUACAAAGAAAAAUAAAAAGUUUCAGUUAUUUAUAUGAGAAACAGCGAUGCUUCAGUCAUUUAUGUGAGAAAAACCAAACGACACAUUUCCACAUGUCCCCUUUCUUCAUGGUCUCUCAGUUCUACCCAAAUGAACCAGAAGAUUCCUGUGAAAACACAAACGUUGCCAGUAAGAAAUGAAGAGGAAGAACCUCUGUCUUGACGUAGUGUAAAACCAAUGGUUAUGUGCUUCCUUAUACCUCUAUUUCCAGCACAUUUUUACAGAUGCUAUCAGUAUAUGCACUAGGUGUGACAUCAAAAACAAACCUAUCUUAGUAAAGGAGCACCAGAGGAAACUCAUAACUUGUUUAUAGGAAUUAUAAGUAACUACAGUUAAAUAAAAUGAUAGAACUACAAAAAAGGGUAUGUAAC